rfam:Schistosoma haematobium scaffold1150_1, whole genome shotgun sequence.
AUCCAGCUGACCAGUGUCAAAUGGCACGAAACCCACGUCCUGGAU